ensembl:lncRNA
UGAAAAGGGACUGCUGCAAAAGGCAAAGUAUGGAAAAGUGCAUAUCACCCACAUCUCCCCAGCUGCAAUGAAACUACAUAUCCUGAAACUCAAAGCAAAUUUAAACUCACAAAAACACCUGCUUGUCUGUUGUCUUUUCAGCUCAUGUCUAAAUGAUUUCAUUUCUGCUACAGCCUUGUGAUGAGGAAACAAAAAUAAAUCAAAAACCCAUACUUCAAAACAAUAAGUUGCGGUAUAUCAUGCCUUCUGUGUUCCCUCAGGAUAUUGAUGCUUCUCCUCAAAAAUGAAGUGUACUCAAAGAUACUUUUUCUUUUGACUUUUUCUUGUUGAUGUUAGGUGCCUUUUUCAGAUUUUUCAAGGAAAUGAAGCAUGUGUCUGAAAUUGGGCCUCUG